UCUUUCGGUGUAAUACAGUGACCUUUCCUUUAUUGUUGCGGUUACGUAUAGUACGAAUUGAAACGUUCUUCUUCGGACAUUUCUCGUCGCUUAAGCAUCCGGUGUGAUACGGUACGUUACGGAUUGUGAGAAUUACACGAACAAGAACCGAUUCCGGAAUUGCUGGACCAAGGCUGCUACCGUAGGUAUAACGUAACAAAGUCACCUCCGGGCAUCGGAGAUGGAAAGGUCAUCUGCACGCAAGUGGGCACGCAUCGCCGCAGAAACCUCUGCCUAACGGCGGCGUAAUCGUUUCUCUACGGUACGUGACGGUGAUUUUAUCAGAGUUAAAACAAGCAGAAGGAUUAAUCGGACAAUGGAGAUGCUCCGAGCGCCAUCCGGAAGACAACGCCUAAUGUCAAGAAAUUGCUGGGCCGACACAUUUACCGAUUUGGGGGAUACUGACAACGAUCAACAGACAGGCAGUGGACGUUAGCCACUGAUCUCGGGAAGUUUGAACUCUGAAAAUUGGGCCCUUUCUCAUACACAACGCUGAAGUAGCCGAAUUGGCGGUGCUGCCAGAAGGAUGGCGUAUGUUUUUGGCAAACCAAAUACACAGCGGUAACGGCCUCCAUUUACAUGUCUGUAUAUUAUAUAGACUUGUGUGAUUGUGUUACUCUCGUUGAUGUUCGAAUGAAUUAGAGAUGUUUCGGCAUCUUGAUAAAAUGAUUGAAGUUACAAUGUGUAGUAAUGUAGGCCCGUAAAUGUUUAAACAUCUGUAUUAUGCGGCGAUGGAGAGUGUCAGUCAAGAAAUAUAAAUUAGCGAGACAACGAGAUGAGUAAAAAUAAAAUAUACAGGUGUACUUGUAUUAACAAGGGACAAAGCUUAGCUUAAAAUAACUCUUAUAUAUUCUUACAAUUUAUUAAAUACAAGUACAUGUAUCUAUAGUUAGGAUUAUGUCUAUACCACAAUGAGAUAUCUACUACACUGUUUACGGAUAUGUUGUAUGUUUAUGAAAAAUAUAGUUUGCUCAAAUUCCGUAUAAGGAUAUUUUAACAGAACAAUUCAAUGGAGGACAUUUAAUUAUAAGACACAUGUAGUAUGAUGGUUGGGGACUAACAAGCUAUUGUUAGUUAGUUGAUAUAUGACAUGUUAUAUUAGGUUUGAUAAAUGUUACUUUAAGAUUACGUAACUGUGUCUAAUAUAGUGUCAGAUGCGCCAGCAAUUAAUCGAAUUUAUUAUUGUAAUAUUAUUCUGCAAUUGUGCAUAUAUUGGUCAUAUUUUUUCUAGACGCAUUAAGGGGUUAGGUGGGUUUCAAAAGCUCAAAAUAGGUACAUUUUUAUGAAUUUUUUUUUAUUUAAUCAACAGAAUAUUUCAUUCCAUUAAUUUGACACAUAAAAGAUACAUAUUUUAUAAGUAGUUUGUGAAAUUUUCAUUGAAAGAUAUUGAAAAUUAAGGCGUGGACACGUCGUCUGCUAUGACCCCUCAAAAAAAAGUUCUCUCGGCGUAGUCAGGAUAACUCAUGACAAAUUCAUCUGAAAUGCAAAAACCAAAAAUUUUCUGUUAUUAGAUGUUUAAAACUCGUGCUUGGACGAAGGAAAAAAACAAAAACAAAAAUUACAUUUUUGGCGGCGUUGAAAACAAAAAACCCUUAUUUUGAGUAAAAUUUGCACCCUUCAUGGCCUU
rnacentral:lncRNA from 1 species